rnacentral:lncRNA from 1 species
GUUUGCCAUGUCUACUGCCCGCGACCGGAAACAGGCGACCAUGACAGGAAGCAGAGGCGGGUGAAGGAAAUACGUCACGCGGACUUCCGGUGAAAUCUGCCGAUUUCGGCGGAGCAGAUAUUUUUGCUCCACAGAGCGAUCCGGAAUCGGCGGCUGGUCCCAAUCUGCCAUUGGAACACACAACUCACGCUCCCAUUCUGCCAUUGGAAUAGACUUGCUCCACACAGAGCAGAAAUACUUGAUCUGGAUCUACCAUUAGAAUUCAACAUGAAUAAAACGAAGAUUAUAAAUUGUACU